ensembl:rRNA 5S_rRNA 5S ribosomal RNA
GCUCACGGCCUUACCAGCUGAAGAACGCCAAAUCUCAACUGAUCUUGGAAGCUAAGAAGGCUUGGGCCUGGUUAGUACUUAGAUGGGAGACUGCCUGGGAAUACCAGGUGCUGUAAACU